AACUUUCAACAAUGGAUCUCUUGGCUCUCGCAUCGAUGAAGAACGCAGCGAAAUGCGAUAAGUAAUGUGAAUUGCAGAAUUCAGUGAAUCAUCGAAUCUUUGAACGCACCUUGCGCUCCUUGGUAUUCCGAGGAGCAUGCCUGUUUGAGUGUCAUUAAAUUCUCAACUAUUCAAGUUUUUGUUAACUUGUAUAGCUUGGAUCAUGGGAUUUGCGGGCUUCUACAAGUCGGCUAUCCUUAAAUGCAUUAGCAGAGCUUUUGCCGCUAACCUCUAGUGUGAUAAUUAUCUACGCUAUUGAUUGGUGACAUGUUGGAGCUUAGCUUCUAAUCGUCUUCACAGACAACUUUAGACAUUCUGACCUCAAAUCAGGUAGGACUACCCGCUGAACUUAAGCAUAUCAAUAAGCGGAGGAAAAGAAACUAACAAGGAUUCCCCUAGUAACUGCGAGUGAAGCGGGAAAAGCUCAAAUUUAAAAUCUGGUAGUCUUUGGCUGCCCGAGUUGUAAUCUAGAGAAGCGUUAUCCGUGCUGGACCGUGUAUAAGUCUUCUGGAAUGGAGCGUCAUAGAGGGUGAGAAUCCCGUCUUUGACACGGACUACCAGUGCUUUGUGAUGCGCUCUC
rnacentral:misc_RNA from 1 species